rnacentral:lncRNA from 1 species
CAAAGAUUAGAGUGACUGGUAUCUUGCUGUUUCUGUAAAGGAAAAUUACCAUGAUCCUAAGAAGCUGAGGUCAUCAAGCGGAGUAGGAGGUAGAUUUCCUAUCCAGGAGCAGUGAGCCAAAUUAAAUGCACAGAAAUUAGACCUUAACAAUGUCAAUAACCUCCAACAAGCAUAGACUCGCAGUUGAAAAGAACACACCUGGAUUUCAAAUGUUUCACAGAAAAACAGAGGUGAAGAAGGAGGUUGAAUCAACUAUAAUUUCUUCUACAACAGCAUCAUUACUUACUUUGAGUUUACCUUUCAAGUAGAUUGUCUCCAGAAGAAGGAAGUCCUAUCAAUUAAACAUGACUCUCAAGAGAAAAACACAAUGCGUAUAAGUGAUUUUAAACAGAAUAUAGCAUCAAGAAGUAGAAAUUGCCCAAGACCCUGUUUUAUCCUGCACUUUCCCAUUACUUUGGUAAUCAACAGUUGGUUGAGGCUGGGUGCCGUGGUUCACACCUAUAAUCCCAGAACUUUGGGAGGCUAAGGCAAGAGGAUCUCUUGAGCCUGGAAGUCCGAGACCGGGCUGGAUAACAAAACAAGACCCCAUCACUACAAAAAAAAAAAAAAAAAAAAAAGUCAGUUGAGGAUCAACAGCGGAGUCCAAGUAUGCAAUGGCUAUGUUAUUCCAUUUACUCCUCAGAAUAAUUAAUUGAAGUCGGAGUUAUAUUACUAAAUUUCAGAUAACAAAAUGGGGACUGUAGGUAAAUUUCCCAAGGUCACACAACUAGAUACGUAGUGAAACCAUGAUUCAAAUUGAUUCAAAAUGACUCUAAAUUCACUAUAAAAAGUCAUACAUGGGAAGGGGAAAGCAAAAAUAUCUAACAUUUCUCAUAGGCCUCCUUUUCCACAGCACUUCUGGACCCCUUAAAUGUCAUGUUUUCUACAUAAUGAUUUUUGCUUGCAAAAGUCACCAACUGCAUCUUUACUAAUAUGGCUCCAGCUCCCAGAUCUACAGCAGUGUCAGGCUCCCAAGUUAAUGGGUAUAAAAGGAAAAGGAACAAACCCAAAUUAGGAAUGUACCAGAACUGCUGCCCUCAGCUACCAUUCAGGUAUGUGGGGCCUUCCUUGGUUGUGUUAGAGCCUGAAUCAUAGUCCAUCAUUUAUUGUCAAAUCAUCUUAUGCCACCAUUCUACCAAGUAUUAUAGCCUUCUGGAUUUUCCUGUUAAUUUCCAUCAACUGUCCUGGGUCCUGUACUUCUAAUACAAUUCAAACACAU